CACGUAGGGGGCAAGCGUUGUCCGGAUUUAUUGGGCGUAAAGAGCUCGUAGGCGGUUUGUCGCGUCUGCUGUGAAAACCCGAGGCUCAACCUCGGGCCUGCAGUGGGUACGGGCAGACUAGAGUGCGGUAGGGGAGAUUGGAAUUCCUGGUGUAGCGGUGGAAUGCGCAGAUAUCAGGAGGAACACCGAUGGCGAAGGCAGGUCUCUGGGCCACUACUGACGCUGAGAAGCGAAAGCAUGGGGAGCGAACAGG
rnacentral:rRNA from 1 species